rnacentral:rRNA from 1 species
UAGGGUUUCCUUCAGCAGUGACACUUAUGAGAAGCCUUUGCAGCCCCGCAAGGGGUGCUGGCCGCGACUGUAAAAAAGAAUGCUGGUAUUAAAUUGCAAGUCAGCUAAGCUGGCAACACUUUCGAAUUGCGGGGAUACCCUAAAGUCCACUCUACCAACUCAGCGGGGAAACCCAGUUGGGGGCCUGUGCUAAUCACACGGGGUGAGGUAAGAACGAGAUGGAAUAUAUGGGCGAUCCGCAGCCAAGUCCCUAAGGGCUCUCCUGCCUACGGGAAAGGUUCACAGACUAAGUGGAAGUGGGUUGGAUCCGGAUGGGAUCCAGCUUAAGAUAUAGUCGGGCCUCGUGAGAAAUCGCGGGGGAAGUCACAAACCG